rnacentral:rRNA from 1 species
UAAGGAAUAUUGGUCAAUGGACGCAAGUCUGAACCAGCCAUGCCGCGUGGAGGAUGAAGGUCCUCUGGAUUGUAAACUUCUUUUAUCUGGGACGAAACACUCCUAUUCUUAGGGGCCUGACGGUACCAGAUGAAUAAGCACCGGCUAACUCCGUGCCAGCAGCCGCGGUAAUACGGAGGGUGCAAGCGUUAUCCGGAUUCACUGGGUUUAAAGGGUGCGUAGGUGGGUAUGUAAGUCAGUGGUGAAAUCCCCGAGCUUAACUUGGGAACUGCCGUUGAUACUAUAUAUCUUGAAUGUCGUAGAGGUUAGCGUAAUAUGUCAUGUGGCGGUGAAAUGCUUAGAGAUGACAUAGAACACCAAUUGCAAAGGCAGCUUGCUAUGCGAUUAUUGACACUGAGGCACGAAAGCGUGGGUAGCAAACA